AUUGAACGCUGGCGGCAUGCCUUACACAUGCAAGUCGAACGGCAGCACGGGAGCAAUCCUGGUGGCGAGUGGCGAACGGGUGAGUAAUAUAUCGGAACGUGCCCGGUCGUGGGGAUAACGUAGCGAAAGCUACGCUAAUACCGCAUACGAUCUACGGAUGAAAGCGGGGGAUCGCAAGACCUCGCGCGAUUGGAGCGGCCGAUAUCAGAUUAGGUAGUUGGUGAGGUAAAGGCUCACCAAGCCGACGAUCUGUAGCUGGUCUGAGAGGACGACCAGCCACACUGGGACUGAGACACGGCCCAGACUCCUACGGGAGGCAGCAGUGGGGAAGUUUUGGACAAUGGGCGCAAGCCUGAUCCAGCAAUGCCGCGUGCAGGAUGAAGGCCUUCGGUUGG
rnacentral:rRNA from 1 species